CACGCCAGGCCUCUGUGGAUCACCUCAUGUUCCUGAUCUCAUGCAUUCCCGGCAGACCGGCAGUUGAAGGGAAGUGAUGCAAAUGGCCUUGAAUUCCGGACACUGGGAAGCAGCAGCUCAUCCUUUUUUGCCUGCUGCUCCCCCAACCCCCCAGGGCUGACCAUCAGGAUGACUGCUGGGCACACUGAGUCGCUGGAAACUCCGUGGGAUGCUUUACAUGUGGUAGCUCAGGGCAGCUCUCCAAACCCCGCAGGGCGAGGUGGAGACGGGCCUCGGGGAGGUCGAGUAGCUCCCCCAGCUCACACCCUCCCGAGUCCUGAGGCAGAAUUCAGACGGUCUGCCGGCUGCAGGGCCGGUGUUCUCACCCACGAGGCUGCAGGAAGAGGAGCACCGUUCAGCCGAGCCCAGGAGAGGCUCCUCCUCGGUGACAUCACCCCCUAGAAGAAGUCCGAGUCCUAAGACGGAAGGAACUUGCACCCCCCCGCCAGAGCCUCCAGAGCUAGACUGUAAUCGCUAUCUCAAGUCACUGUAUUUUGGGGUCCCUUUAAAGCAUCUUGGGUGUUUUCCAUAAUCAGUACAAUUAAAGAGAAAGAUUCA